rnacentral:rRNA from 1 species
UGGGGAAUUUUGGACAAUGGGCGAAAGCCUGAUCCAGCAAUGCCGCGUGUGAAGAAGGCCUUCGGGUUGUAAAGCACUUUUGUCCGGAAAGAAAUCCUUGGCUCUAAUACAGUCGGGGGAUGACGGUACCGGAAGAAUAAGCACCGGCUAACUACGUGCCAGCAGCCGCGGUAAUACGUAGGGUGCAAGCGUUAAUCGGAAUUACUGGGCGUAAAGCGUGCGCAGGCGGUUUGCUAAGACCGAUGUGAAAUCCCCGGGCUCAACCUGGGAACUGCAUUGGUGACUGGCAGGCUAGAGUAUGGCAGAGGGGGGUAGAAUUCCACGUGUAGCAGUGAAAUGCGUAGAGAUGUGGAGGAAUACCGAUGGCGAAGGCAGCCCCCUGGGCCAAUACUGACGCUCAUGCACGAAAGCGUGGGGAGCAAACAGGAUUAGAUACCCUGGUAGUCCACGCCCUAAACGAUGUCAACUAGUUGUUGGGGAUUCAUUUCCUUAGUAACGUAGCUAACGCGUGAAGUUGACCGCCUGGGGAGUACGGUCGCAAGAUUAAAACUUAAAGGAAUUGACGGGGUCAUAGCUGUUUCCU